GGCUGUAGCUCAGUUGUAGAACAUUUGUCUUACAUUCAUGAAGUCCUAGGUUCAAUUCCCAGUACUGCCA
rnacentral:tRNA from 1 species